GUUUUAUCUUCUUUUUGCAGCGUACCCAACAUGUUUAAGAGUGUUCGGUUGAAUCGCUCCACAGGAUUGCCACGGGGAUGGUAAGGUGUGGUCCUAAUCUUUUGGAUUCCUGUGAUCUGACAGAGCUCUUUGAUAGUAUGAGAUUCAAAAUCAGUCCCUUGGUCGCUAUGGAGACGCUCUGGCAUUCCAUAAUGGACAAGGUAAUUCUCCCAUAGUGCUUUUGCUACGGUUUUGGCUCUUUGGUUUGGGGUUGGCACUGCAACAGCAUAUUUUGUGAAAUGAUCAGUUAUCACUAGAACAUUUUUGGUGUUGCUUCGGUCUGGUUCUAUGGAGAGAAAGUCCAUGCAGACAAGUUCGAGUGGUCUUGAGGUUUUAAUGUUAACAAGUGGUGCAGCUUUCUCAGGCUGUGCUUUUCUUCGGAUGCAUCUCUCACAGUUCUUGAGUUUGUUACAGACGUCAACUGCCAUUCGUGGCCAGAAGAACCGUGAUCUGACGAGGUCCAGAGUCCUUUCUGUACCCAAAUGGCCCAUCUGGUCAUGAAGCUGGUUGAGGACCUCAGCCCGCCAUUCCUCUGGAAGUACAAGUUGGGUGGAUAUCCAGCUGUUAACUCAUUGAGAGGUUUGACCACUGAUGAGAACCCUUCCACAAACCGGCGAUAAUACCCUGCAAAACCAAGGAAUGAUCUGAGCUCUUUUAAAUUUUGAGGAACCGGCCAAGAUGUUAAGGUGGAAAUCUUGUCUGGAUCUGUCUCCACUCCAUCCCUUGAAACUAUAUGUCCAAGGUAGCGAACAGAUGUCUGAAAGAAAACACACUUUUCAACUGACAGCUUCAAUCCAAAUUCUUUCAGGCGUUGAAGAACUUUCUUCAACCGAAGUUCAUGCUCUUCUAGAGUUGGUGCAAACACUAUUAAAUCGUCAAUGAAAACAAGCACUUCUUUUAAAUUCAUGUCUCCCAUGCACCGCUCCAUGAGGCGUUGAAAGGUGCUAGGAGCAUUAGUUACACCUUGAGGCAUGCGGUUAAAUUCG